AGGGCGCACGGUGGAUGCCUUGGCACUAGAAGCCGAUGAAGGACGUUACUAACGACGAUAUGCUUUGGGGAGCUGUAAGUAAGCUUUGAUCCAGAGAUUUCCGAAUGGGGAAACCCAGCAUGAGUUAUGUCAUGUUAUCGAUAUGUGAAUACAUAGCAUAUCAGAAGGCACACCCGGAGAACUGAAACAUCUUAGUAACCGGAGGAAGAGAAAGAAAAUUCGAUUCCCUUAGUAGCGGCGAGCGAAACGGGAAGAGCCCAAACCAACAAGCUUGCUUGUUGGGGUUGUAGGACACUCUAUACGGAGUUACAAAGGACGACAUUAGACGAAUCAUCUGGAAAGAUGAAUCAAAGAAGGUAAUAAUCCUGUAGUCGAAAAUGUUGUCUCUCUUGAGUGGAUCCUGAGUACGACGGAGCACGUGAAAUUCCGUCGGAAUCUGGGAGGACCAUCUCCUAAGGCUAAAUACUCUCUAGUGACCGAUAGUGAACCAGUACCGUGAGGGAAAGGUGAAAAGCACCCCGGAAGGGGAGUGAAAUAGAACCUGAAACCGUGUGCUUACAAGUAGUCAGAGCCCGUUAAUGGGUGAUGGCGUGCCUUUUGUAGAAUGAACCGGCGAGUUACGAUUUGAUGCAAGGUUAAGCAGUAAAUGUGGAGCCGUAGCGAAAGCGAGUCUGAAUAGGGCGUUUAGUAUUUGGUCGUAGACCCGAAACCAGGUGAUCUACCCUUGGUCAGGUUGAAGUUCAGGUAACACUG
rnacentral:rRNA from 1 species